rnacentral:rRNA from 1 species
UACGGGGGGGGCAAGCGUUGUUCGGAAUUACUGGGCGUAAAGGGCUCGUAGGCGGCCAACUAAGUCGGAUGUGAAAUCCCCAAGCUUAACUUGGGAACUGCAUCCGAUACUGGAUGGCUUGAAUCCGGGAGAGGGAUGCAGAAUUCCAGGUGUAGCGGUGAAAUGCGUAGAUAUCUGGAGGAACACCGAUAGCGAAGGCAGCUCGCUGGGACGGUACUGACGCUGAGGCGCGAAAGCGUGGGGAGCGAACAGG